UUUUAAUUAAUCACCAUGACUCCUUUCACAUUUUUCGGCCAGGUAAAAAAACCACAGGUGUGUUGAUGAGAAACGGAUUGUACCUGCAAGAAGAAGGGGGGACGCGAAAACUUGAAAUAUGAUCUCCGAGAAUUAAUUCAUGACAGAUAUUGGAUGGACAGUAAGAAAUAUAGUCAACCGAAUAUAGAUGCAUCUUCUACAAGUGGGGAUCCUUUUUCUAUUAGAGGUUCAUAAUGGAAUGUGUCCAGUAGAUUCUGACCGCUGGUCUAACAAUGGACAUUUAUCAUGCCAACUCUUGACAAGAAACGGACGAGCGAGCGCACCUUGCUCUCUGCUUCAGGCGUUUGAAACCAGUCAUAAAAUAUUCUAGGUACAAGACAACUUUUGAUAAUUGUAUUUGGUAUUUCUAGCGUUAAAAAAUCUGAACAAUUGAAAAGAUGGACAGAAUUAUACAGGCCUAAGAUAUAUAUAAUUGUGGCUGAUAUUUCGAAGGUUACUAGUUUGACAUCUUUUAUUAAAUAUUUAUUUCAUUUUUCAAAUAAACUUUAAAAUUUUA